rnacentral:rRNA from 1 species
AUUGAACGCUGGCGGCAGGCCUAACACAUGCAAGUCGAGCGGAUGAAGGGAGCUUGCUCCUGGAUUCAGCGGCGGACGGGUGAGUAAUGCCUAGGAAUCUGCCUGGUAGUGGGGGAUAACGUCCGGAAACGGGCGCUAAUACCGCAUACGUCCUGAGGGAGAAAGUGGGGGAUCUUCGGACCUCACGCUAUCAGAUGAGCCUAGGUCGGAUUAGCUAGUUGGUGGGGUAAAGGCCUACCAAGGCGACGAUCCGUAACUGGUCUGAGAGGAUGAUCAGUCACACUGGAACUGAGACAUGGUCCAGACUCCUACGGGAGGCAGCAGUGGGGAAUAUUGGACAAAGGGCGAAAGCCUGAUCCAGCCAUGCCGCGUGUGUGAAGAAGGUCUUCGGAUUGUAAAGCACUUUAAGUUGGGAGGAAGGGCAGUAAGUUAAUACCUUGCUGUUUUGACGUUACCAACAGAAUAAGCACCGGCUAACUUCGUG